UAGAAAUUUUUGCUGAAAAUUCCCGGAAGAAUUAUUAAGUUAUUUCCGUUUAUGUUACGGUGCAACUAGAAGUGUUCAUUUAUCAGAAUUUCCUUUAUGAAUAUUUUGACAAUUUUGACAGCUAACUUAGGCAUGGCCUGUUGAUUAAUACUACCAAAACCUGGAGCUUUUUGACAAAUUGUUUUAAGUUAGGAUGAAAGCUUUGAUAUUGUUACGAGCGCCACUUUUGGAGAGUGAGUAGCAAAUCAUCACGAAAGUUGCAGAACCGGAUUGCCGUACGGUUCAUGAGAGCCAAGAGAAAAGAACACGAAUCGAAUAAGAGAGUCUGCCUUGGUCUAUCAUAACGCGCGCACGCGAGCAAAGUGAGUGAGCAAAUAUUCUACGUGAAGUGAGCAAGGACCUUCCGGAACUACCCUCAAGGAAGCUACGCAUUGUGAGGAAACUCUACAGGCAUCCCCCGGCACCUCCAGACGCCCCUCGACGCCACUUGCCCAUUGAGAACUGCCACGUGGCCCUUGGCGCCUCAGCAUGCCCACGUUCUAGCCCAACCGCUAACGCCCACGCUACUGAUGUGCGCCCCAUUACCACAAGAGACCCGUGGGGCCCUGCCAUUGGGGAAUGUCUCCCCACCGAGGCCCUCAGGCCGCCUUUCCGGACAAUCUCUGGCCGCCACGUGGAGUGCCUCCAGCCUCGUCGAUGAGGACGUCCUUUUGGUGGCACUUUCGGCUUUCACCCUUCAUCGGGUCACGCCUUAUGCCAUCCGAGGGAAGCAGGAGCUUCCCUUCCUUCGCGGGAAUUACCAUUCAUCCUCCCGGAAAUGCCACACCGUAGUGAUGACGACACAGUGCUCUCUCUCUCGCUCUUCAAGCGAUCGCGUUAUUGUAAUCGCCACAAAUACACCGGGCGACAAACUUUAUGUGCAAUAGACGGAAUAAAUGUAAUUGUGUACCGUGGAAA